rnacentral:rRNA from 1 species
UACGGAGGUUGCAAGCGUUAAUCGGAAUUACUGGGCGUAAAGCACACGCAGGCGGUUGGAUAAGUUAGAUGUGAAAGCCCCGGGCUCAACCUGGGAAUUGCAUUUAAAACUGUCCAGCUAGAGUCUUGUAGAGGGGGGUAGAAUUCCAGGUGUAGCGGUGAAAUGCGUAGAGAUCUGGAGGAAUACAGGUGGCGAAGGCGGCCCCCUGGACAAAGACUGACGCUCAGGUGCGAAAGCGUGGGGAGCAAACAGG